rnacentral:rRNA from 1 species
UGCCCAGACUCCUACGGGAGGCAGCAGUGGGGAAUAUUGCACAAUGGGCGAAAGCCUGAUGCAGCAACGCCGCGUGAAGGAAGAAGGGUUUCGGCUCGUAAACUUCUAUCAACAGGGACGAAAGAAAUGACGGUACCUGAAUAAGAAGCCCCGGCUAACUACGUGCCAGCAGCCGCGGUAAUACGUAGGGGGCAAGCGUUAUCCGGAAUUACUGGGUGUAAAGGGUGAGUAGGCGGCAUGGUAAGCCAGAUGUGAAAGCCUUGGGCUUAACCCGAGGAUUGCAUUUGGAACUAUCAAGCUGGAGUACAGGAGAGGAAAGCGGAAUUCCUAGUGUAGCGGUGAAAUGCGUAGAUAUCAGGAGGAACACCGGCGGCGAAGGCGGCCUGCUGGACCGUGACUGACGUUGAGGCUCGAGAGCGUGGGGAGCAAACAGGAUUAGAUACCCGAGUAC